GAUGAACGCUGGCGGCGUGCCUAAUACAUGCAAGUCGAGCGAACAGACGAGGAGCUUGCUCCUCUUACGUUAGCGGCGGACGGGUGAGUAACACGUGGAUAACCUACCUAUAAGACUGGGAUAACUUCGGGAAACCGUAGCUAAUACCGGAUAAUAUAUUGAACCGCAUGGUUCUUUAGUGAAAGACGCUUUUGCUGUACCUUAUAGAGGGAUCCCCUCCGCUUUAGCUAUUUGGUAAGGUACCGGCUUACCAAGGCAACGAUGCGUAGCCGACCUGAGAGGGUGAUCGGCCCCACGGGAACUGGGACACGGUCCAGACCCUUACGGGAGGAAGCAGAAGGGAACCUUCCGAAAUGGGCGAAAGCCGGACGGAGCAACGCCGCGUGAGGGAGGAAGGUCUCCGGUUGGUAAGACUCUGUUAUUAGGGAAGAACAAAUGUGUAAGUAAAUAUGCACGUCGUGACGGUACCUAAUCAGAAAGCCACGGCUAACUACGUG
rnacentral:rRNA from 1 species